GACGAACGCUGGCGGCGUGCCUAAUACAUGCAAGUCGAACGCAGUGGGGACGGGUGAGUUACACGUGGGUAACCUCCCAUCAGAGGGGAUAACACUUGGUAACAGGUGCUAAACCGAUAUUGAUGUUUGGACCCGUGGUUCAUGAGCUAGUGGGUGAGGUAACGGCCCACCAAGGCCACGAUGCAUAGCGGACCUGAGGGGGUGAUCGGCCACACGGGAACUGAGACACGGCCCAGACUCCUACGGGAGGCAGCAGUAGGGAAUCUUCGGCAAUGGACGAAAGUCUGACCGAGCAACGCCGCGUGAGGGAAGAAGGUUUUCGGAUCGUAAAACUCUGUGGUUAGAGAAGCGGUAUCUAACCAGAAAGCCACGGCUAACUACGUGCCAGCAGCCGCGGUAAUUC
rnacentral:rRNA from 1 species